rnacentral:rRNA from 1 species
CAGUAGCCACGGUAAUAUGUAGGUGGCAAGCGUUGUCCGGAAUUAUUGGGCGUAAAGGGCUCGCAGGCGGUUUCUUAAGUCUGAUGUGAAAGCCCCCGGCUCAACCGGGGAGGGUCAUUGGAAACUGGGAAACUUGAGUGCAGAAGAGGAGAGUGGAAUUCCACGUGUAGCGGUGAAAUGCGUAGAGAUGUGGAGGAACACCAGUGGCGAAGGCGACUCUCUGGUCUGUAACUGACGCUGAGGAGCGAAAGCGUGGGGAGCGAACAGGAUUAGAUACCCCAGUAGUCCCUGUCUCUUAUAC